rnacentral:lncRNA from 1 species
GAACAUUUUUCUUCAGCCAGCAUCAGGGUUUUAAAACCCUAAACUGAACUUUUUCCUUCAGUCAGCAUUAGGGUUUUAAACCCUAAACUGAACUUUUUCCUUCAGUCAGCAUUAGGGUUUUAAACCCUAAACUGAACUUUUUCCUUCAGUCAGCAUCAGAGCUUUAAAACCCUAAACUGAACUCUUCCCUUUAGUCAGCAUUGGGGUCUUAAACCCUAAACUGAACUCUUCCCUUUAGUCAGCAUUAGGGUUUUAAACCCUAAACUGAACUUUUCCCUUUAAUCAGGAUUAGGGUUUUAAACCCUAAACUGAACUUUUCCCUAAUCAGCAUUAGGGCCCCAACCCUAAACUGAACUUUUCCCCAGUUGGUCAGCAUUAGGGUUUCAACUCUAAACUGAACUUCUCCCCAGCUAGUCAGCAUUAGGGCUCCAACCCUGAACUGAACU